rnacentral:rRNA from 1 species
UACGUAGGGUGCGAGCGUUAAUCGGAAUUACUGGGCGUAAAGCGUGCGCAGGCGGUUAUAUAAGACAGAUGUGAAAUCCCCGGGCUCAACCUGGGACCUGCAUUUGUGACUGUAUAGCUAGAGUACGGUAGAGGGGGAUGGAAUUCCGCGUGUAGCAGUGAAAUGCGUAGCUAUGCGGAGGAACACCGAUGGCGAAGGCAAUCCCCUGGACCUGUACUGACGCUCAUGCACGAAAGCGUGGGGAGCAAACAGG